rnacentral:tRNA from 1 species
GGGCCCGUAGCUCAGCCUGGUCGGAGCGUCCGACGCAACCGGAAGGUCGUGGGUUCGAACCCCACCGGGCCCA